AGAGUUUGAUCCUGGCUCAGGACGAACGCUAGCGGCGUGCUUAACACAUGCAAGUCGUACGAGGUUUACCGAGGAGCUUGCUCUUUGGUAGCCUAGUGGCGCACUGGUGCGCAACACGUGAGCAACCUGUCCUACGGCGGGGGAUAGCCGGCCCAACGGCCGGGUAAUACCGCGUAAUGCGCCGGAAUUUAUGUUCCGGUGUGAAAGCGGCCGCAAGGUCGCGCCGAAGGAGGGGCUCGCGUCCUAUCAGCUUGUUGGUGGGGUAACGGCCUACCAAGGCUACGACGGGUAGCUGGUCUGAGAGGAUGAUCAGCCACAUUGGGACUGAGAUACGGCCCAGACUCCUACGGGAGGCAGCAGUGGGGAAUAUUGCGCAAUGGCCGCAAGGCUGACGCAGCGACGCCGCGUGUGGGAUGAAGGCCUUCGGGUUGUAAACCACUGUCGGGAGGGACGAAUACCUGGCUUCAAAUAGUUGACCAGGGGUGACGGUACCUCCAAAGGAAGCACCGGCUAACUCCGUGCCAGCAGCCGCGGUAAUACGGAGGGUGCGAGCGUUGUCCGGAAUCACUGGGCGUAAAGAGUGCGUAGGCGGUCGUUUAAGUCGUUUGUGAAAUCCCGAGGCUCAACCUCGGGCCCUGCGGUGAAACUG
rnacentral:rRNA from 1 species